rnacentral:rRNA from 1 species
GAUGAACGCUGGCGGCGUGCCUAAUACAUGCAAGUCGAGCGAACAGAUGAGGAGCUUGCUCCUCUGACGUUAGCGGCGGACGGGUGAGUAACACGUGGAUAACCUACCUAUAAGACUGGGAUAACUUCGGGAAACCGGAGCUAAUACCGGAUAAUAUAUUGAACCGCAUGGUUCAAUAGUGAAAGACGGUUUUGCUGUCACUUAUAGAUGGAUCCGCGCCGCAUUAGCUAGUUGGUAAGGUAACGGCUUACCAAGGCAACGAUGCGUAGCCGACCUGAGAGGGUGAUCCGACACACUGGAACUGAGACACGGUCCAGACUCCUACGGGAGGCAGCAGUAGGGAAUCUUCCGCAAUGGGCGAAAGCCUGACGGAGCAACGCCGCGUGAGUGAUGAAGGUCUUCGGAUCGUAAAACUCUGUUAUUGGGGAAGAACAAAUGUGUAAGUAACUAUGCACGUCUUGACGGUACCUAAUCAGAAAGCCACGGCUAACUACGUG